UGAACAUGGUUUAAAUAAUACUAAAUAGCGUAAAUAUAGAUAACGAUGCGGAAGUCCAGCCUGACACAGUCCUAACCGGGGUGUCACAAGUCAUGAGCAUCUAUGAGUCAUAAUACAAGUCUGCUAGAUCCAAUAACUAGUACAAAUGUUCGAAAGGAAUAGAAAUGACAAGAUAAUAGAGACAUGGGCUGCGAACGUCAACAACUACCUCCUAAUCCCUGAAAGCUGCCUGGAACUGGAGGAAUCAGUACUCAAUAGAGGAACCAGCAACGCCUGAAUCUGCACACAUGGUGCAGGGAGUAAUGUGAGUACUCCGACCUAGUGAGUAAUAAAUAUAAAUAAUGAAUGAAAGUAAGAAAUCACGUAAAACACAAGGCAUUCCAUACUGAAGCAGUAAAAUCACUUAAAACAGUAAAACAGUGAAAAGUCAAGUGAAGAUCCCUUUUUCAACAAGUAAAACAAGUAAUUAAGAGGUAAGUAAUCAAAUAGAAGUUUGCCCAUCGGGCACAAUAUCAACAAAUCUUCCCCUAGAGCAAUAUCUCAGAACAGUACCAGCCCCCCGAGCUCAAUCUCAUAACAGUACCAGCCCCUCGGGCUCAAUCUCACAUCACAAUGGGUACCCGCGCUCACUCGGGUGUACAGACUCCGGGAGGGGCCCCUUACGGCCCAAACNNNNNNNNNNNNNNNNNNNNNNNNNAGUAAAACAGUGUUUCUCAUCCCAAAACAUCAUUUAAAAUAUUAUUUAAGUCUCAAAACUGAGUAAAAAUGGCUGAGUAGUAAAAAAAUGGAAAAUAACGGGACUGAGUUCUAGUAAUAAUUCAAAACAGUGAGGAAAUGAUAAUAAAAAUCUCCGAAGGGUUCAAAUAGUUGGCACGACGGUAAAAUCAUCAAUCGGGAUGGACCAAGUCACAAUCCCCAAUAGUAUACGACCACAUGCUCGUCAUCAAGCGUGUGUCUCACCUCAAUAUAGCACUACGAUGUGCAAUCCGGGGGUUCAAACCCUCAGAGCAUCAUUUAAAAUUAUUACUCACCUCGAAUCGGCUCAAACUCUAGCUCGCAAUGCCUUUGCCCCUCGAAUCGGCCUCCACGCGCAUCAAAUCUAUCCAAAAUCAGAACGAAUACGUCACAAUAUGCUAAGGAAACAAAGCCCAAGAGAAAACAAUUGAAAAAUACUAAAAAUCCCGAAAUUAGCAAAAGCCGAGCCCCGAGCCCACCUCUCGAAACUCAGAAAUUUUUACAUCAAUGGGUUCCUUAUCUCCCCACGAGUUCGUACAUAUCAAAAGUUCUCAAAUCCGACCCCAAAUGGUCCUCCAAAUCCCCAAUAAGAAUUUCAAAAUUCCAAGCCCUAGUUCUUCCAUUUUUAGCUUAAAUUCCAUGAUUUUCUAGGUGGAUUUCACAAUAUAACCGAGUUUUAGGUCCGAAAUUCUUACCUCCAAUCGUUUCUCCUCUUAGAGCGUUCUUGAAGAUUCUAGCAAUUUCUUGGUAGUUCAACUAUAGUAGUGGUUGUGCCUUCCACCAAGUGCAUAUUUGUUUCCCUUUCUCAUUCCGCAAUGAGUUUUGGAGCAGCUGACCAAAUCUUCUUGAAGUUAUUUAGAUGAAUGAACAACAGAACACUUAAUUCCUUGACCUUUAAUGAGGAAUCAAACAAAUAAGAUCCUUGGGGAAACCAUCUCAAUUCCCAUCUUCACUUUACUUUAAUGGAGAGAGCAUCUUUAUGUCCUUUUGCUGCUAUACAUAGCCAUCGUGACUUGUUUCACAAUAAUGGGGGACCCACUAACUUUUAUAAAUAUACUUCUCUUGUG
rnacentral:lncRNA from 1 species